UACGGGGGGAGCAAGCGUUGUUCGGAUUUACUGGGCGUAAAGGGCGCGUAGGCGGUCAGCACAAGUCAGUUGUGAAAUCUCCGGGCUUAACUCGGAAAGGUCAACUGAUACUGUGCGACUAGAGUGCAGAAGGGGCAACUGGAAUUCUCGGUGUAGCGGUGAAAUGCGUAGAUAUCCGGAGGAACACCGAUGGCGAAGGCAGCUGCCUGGCCUGACACUGACGCUGAGGUGCGAAAGCGUGGGGAGCGAACGGG
rnacentral:rRNA from 1 species